rnacentral:rRNA from 1 species
GAGUGGCGGACGGGUGAGUAAUGUUUGGGAAACUGCCUGAUGGAGGGGGAUAACUACUGGAAACGGUAGCUAAUACCGCAUAACGUCGCAAGACCAAAGAGGGGGACCUUCUGGCCCCUUGCCAUCGGAUGUGCCCAGAUGGGAUUAGCUUGUUGGUGGGGUAACGGCUCACCAAGGCGACGAUCCCUAGCUGGUCUGAGAGGAUGACCAGCCACACUGGAACUGAGACACGGUCCAGACUCCUACGGGAGGCAGCAGUGGGGAAUAUUGCACAAUGGGCGCAAGCCUGAUGCAGCCAUGCCGCGUGUAUGAAGAAGGCCUUCGGGUUGUAAAGUACUUUCAGCGGGGAGGAAGGGAGUAAAGUUAAUACCUUUGCUCAUUGACGUUACCCGCAGAAGAAGCACCGGCUAACUCCGUGCCAGCAGCCGCGGUAAUACGGAGGGUGCAAGCGUUGAUCGGAAUUACUGGGCGUAAAGCGCACGCAGGCGGUCUGUCAAGUCGGAUGUGAAAUCCCCGGGCUCAACCUGGGAACUGCAUCCGAAACUGGCAGGCUAGAGUCUUGUAGAGGGGGGUAGAAUUCCAGGUGUAGCGGUGAAAUGCGUAGAGAUCUGGAGGAAUACCGGCGGCGAAGGCGGCCCCCUGGACAAAGACUGACGCUCAGGUGCGAAAGCGUGGGGAGCAAACAGGAUUAGAUACCCUGGUAGUCCACGCCGUAAACGAUGUCGACUUGGAGGUUGUGCCCUUGAGGCGUGGCUUCCGGAGCUAACGCGUUAAGUCGACCGCCUGGGGAGUACGGCCGCAAGGUUAAAACUCAAAUGAAUUGACGGGGGCCCGCACAAGCGGUGGAGCAUGUGGUUUAAUUCGAUGCAACGCGAAGAACCUUACCUACUCUUGACAUCCAGAGAACUUAGCAGAGAUGCUUUGGUGCCUUCGGGAACUCUGAGACAGAUGCUGCAUGGCUGUCGUCAGCUCGUGUUGUGAAAUGUUGGGUUAAGUCCCGCAACGAGCGCAACCCUUAUCCUUUGUUGCCAGCGGUCCGGCCGGGAACUCAAAGGAGACUGCCAGUGAUAAACUGGAGGAAGGUGGGGAUGACGUCAGGUCAUCAUGGCCCUUACGAGUAGGGCUACACACGUGCUACAAUGGCAUAUACAAAGAGAAGCGACCUCGCGAGAGCAAGCGGACCUCAUAAAGUAUGUCGUAGUCCGGAUUGGAGUCUGCAACUCGACUCCAUGAAGUCGGAAUCGCUAGUAAUCGUGGAUCAGAAUGCCACGGUGAAUACGUUCCCGGGCCUUGUACAC